CUAGUUUGGUCCUUCUGUUUCGUAGGAAUCUCUUGUUAAUAUCGAUUUUUAUCAUGUUUGCUUUAAUGAGUUUAUAUGAGAGCAUUACAGGGUCUCCUCUGUUUCCAUCGAACAGCACUGAGUAAGGAGUUGCACUGGCUUGAGCUCCUUCGCCUGCGACUGAGAAAUAAUGCGUGUUGGGGGCAUGGGUGAUGGGGCCAGGAGGGGUGUUCCCUUCGAAAUUGGACAGGUAGGUUUCCGGAGGAUUUCCACUCUUUGUGUUAACUGGACUGCGACGUUGUAUCUCGCUGCGUUUGAUGGAAGAGUUGGAAGGAAUGUCAUGAAGUAUUUGAAGGUUAUUGUCAG